CAGAGGUGUGGUGAUGGGACACAGUACGGUGGGUUCACAGUGAAUUAGCAUGCUGCUGCUGUUGUGCUAGCCGGGAGGAAUCUGUAUGUGUUUACUGAUGGAGGACUCGCCGAUGCUCAUACUGGUUUUACUGGCUGCAUUAGAGUCACAGGGUCAAUGCUGAAGUUUGUUACUAAGGGUGACACGGAGCCAGCGCCCAGUACGUCACAAGGGCCAUCAAGCACCAUGUCUACUGAAGCAGCCUCACCCAGCAUGUCACCCGUCACUCAUCAAAACACACCUCCGCUCAUCAAUGGCGCAAGAACGCUUGAGUGGCCUGGCUAUCAUAAGCAUCAACUCAGAUGUGGCACAGCAGCUGUCAUGUGACGACCUCAUUGAUGACUUUGCAUCCAGAAAAUGCAGACGUGUGCAUCUGUAAAAGGCUUGUUCCAUUGUUGAUAGAGGCUGUUCAUUUGAUUUGUUCCUACUAAUAAAGGGUGUAAACCUAAA